GAUCCCUUUCUGUUCAACUAUACCAAACGACCCCUUUCUUCAACCUGGCACAAAACCUUAGUCAUAUCCCACAAAAUCCGCUUGUUGUUCACCUCUCACAUCCGUUCACAUAUCUCUUCUCCUUCCUCACACUCCAUCUCUGAAGCUUGCAGGCUCCAUGUGUGAUUUCAUGGAAAACACUGGAGCAAAACAACCACUGCCUCACUGGUGCUGUUGAGAAAAAAAAAACAGAGGAGAAAAUGGGAAAAGAAAAAAACAGAGGAGAAAAAAUAGAAAAAGAAAAAAACAGAGGAGAAAAAACAGAAAUAGAAAAAAACAGAGGAGAAAAAACAGAAAAAGAAUCCGAGAAUAGAAGAAGGAAAAAAAUGCAGAAGUGGCUGGAAACAGAGGAGUCGUCGUCGAAAAAAAAAGAAGAAGAAAGAAGAAGCAAAAGUCGAAAAUAGAGGAGGAAGAAAGAAGGAGAACUGAAGAAAAAGAAGAAGGAGAAAGAGAGCGUACCAUAAAACCUUGAAGGAGAAGAGAGGAGGAGGCAAAAAAAACCCUAGCAGCUGUUUUUCUUUUGAUAAUAAGUUUCAUUUAAGUUUUCAACUUCUUUUAAUUGCCUUUUUU